UACGGGGGGGGUAAGCGUUGUUCGGAAUUACUGGGCGUAAAGGGCUCGUAGGCGGCCAACUAAGUCAGACGUGAAAUCCCUCGGCUUAACUGGGGAACUGCGUCUGAUACUGGAUGGCUUGGAUUCGGGAGAGGAAUGCGGAAUUCCAGGUGUAGCGGUGAAAUGCGUAGAUAUCAGGAGGAACACCGGUGGCGAAGGCGGGUCUCUGGGCCGAUACUGACGCUGAGGAGCGAAAGCGUGGGGAGCGAACAGG
rnacentral:rRNA from 1 species